CAGCCACAUCAGCCACUGAAACAUCAAUUCCCAUAUGAUCACUAGUUAAGCAAUGUCAACCCUGGUUAGUACUUAGAUGGGUGACCACUUGAGAAUAUCAGGUGCUGUAAG